CAGGCGUAGUCGAUGGAUAACCGGUUGAUAUUCCGGUACCCGCUGUGAAGCGUCAAACAUUGAAUCCAGUGAUGCUAAGCCCGUGAAGCCGUUCCGGACCCUUCGGGGAAUGGAAAGUGGUGGAGCCGGUGGCCCGAGCUGGUAGUAGGUGAGUGAUGGGGUGACGCAGGAAGGUAGUCCAUCCCGGGCGGUGGUUGUCCCGGGGUAAGGGUGUAGGACGUCAGGUAGGUAAAUCCGCCUGGCAAUAGUCUGAGACCUGAUGCCGAGCCGAUUGUGGUGAAGUGGAUGAUCCUAUGCUGUCGAGAAAAGCCUCUAGCGAGUUUCAUGGCGGCCCGUACCCUAAACCGACUCAGGUGGUCAGGUAGAGAAUACCGAGGCGUUCGGGUGAACUAUGGUUAAGGAACUCGGCAAAAUGCCCCCGUAACUUCGGGAGAAGGGGGGCCAUGUCUGGUGAUCCGAUUUACUCGGUGAGCUGGGUGUGGCCGCAGAGACCAGCGAGAAGCGACUGUUUACUAAAAACACAGGUCCGUGCGAAGCCGUAAGGCGAUGUAUACGGACUGACGCCUGCCCGGUGCUGGAACGUUAAGGGGACCGGUUAGUCACAUUUCGGUGUGGCGAAGCUGAGAACUUAAGCGCCAGUAAACGGCGGUGGUAACUAUAACCAUCCUAAGGUAGCGAAAUUCCUUGUCGGGUAAGUUCCGACCUGCACGAAUGGCGUAACGACUUCUCGACUGUCUCAACCAUAGGCCCGGUGAAAUUGCAUUACGAGUAAAGAUGCUCGUUUCGCGCAGCAGGACGGAAAGACCCCGGGACCUUUACUACAGUUUGAUAUUGGUGUUCGGUUCGGCUUGUGUAGGAUAGGUGGGAGACUGUGAAGCAUGCACGCCAGUGUGUGUGGAGUCGUCGUUGAAAUACCACUCUGGUCGUGCUGGAUGUCUAACCUGGGUCCGUGAUCCGGAUCAGGGACAGUGUCUGAUGGGUAGUUUAACUGGGGCGGUUGCCUCCUAAAGAGUAACGGAGGCGCCCAAAGGUUCCCUCAGCCUGGUUGGUAAUCAGGUGUUGAGUGUAAGUGCACAAGGGAGCUUGACUGUGAGACCGACGGGUCGAGCAGGGACGAAAGUCGGGACUAGUGAUCCGGCGGUGGCUUGUGGAAGCGCCGUCGCUCAACGGAUAAAAGGUACCCCGGGGAUAACAGGCUGAUCUUCCCCAAGAGUCCAUAUCGACGGGAUGGUUUGGCACCUCGAUGUCGGCUCGUCGCAUCCUGGGGCUGGAGUCGGUCCCAAGGGUUGGGCUGUUCGCCCAUUAAAGCGGUACGCGAGCUGGGUUUAGAACGUCGUGAGACAGUUCGGUCCCUAUCCGCUGUGCGCGUAGGAAUAUUGAGAAGGGCUGUCCCUAGUACGAGAGGACCGGGACGGACGAACCUCUGGUGUGCCAGUUGUUCUGCCAAGGGCAUGGCUGGUUGGCUACGUUCGGGAGGGAUAACCGCUGAAAGCAUCUAAGCGGGAAGCCUGCUUCGAGAUGAGUAUUCCCACCUCCUUGAGAGGGUAAGGCUCCCAGUAGACGACUGGGUUGAUAGGCCGGAUAUGGAAGCCCUGUAAGGGGUGGAGUUGACCGGUACUAAUAGGCCGAGGGCUUGUCCUCAGUUG
rnacentral:rRNA from 1 species